ACUCCUACGGGAGGCAGCAGUGGGGAAUAUUGCACAAUGGGCGCAAGCCUGAUGCAGCCAUGCCGCGUGUGUGAAGAAGGCCUUCGGGUUGUAAAGCACUUUCAGUCAGGAGGAAAGGUUAGUAGUUAAUACCUGCUAGCUGUGACGUUACUGACAGAAGAAGCACCGGCUAACACCNNG
rnacentral:rRNA from 1 species